rnacentral:rRNA from 1 species
AACGCGAAGAACCUUACCUGGGCUCGAAAUGUAGAGGACUUAGUAAGAGAUUACUAAUCCCGAAAGGGUCUCUAUAUAGGUGCUGCAUGGCUGUCGUCAGCUCGUGCCGUGAGGUGUUUGGUUAAGUCCAGCAACGAGCGCAACCCUUAUCGUUAGUUGCCAACGCGUCAAGGCGGGAACUCUAACGAGACUGCCUAGGUUAACUAGGAGGAAGGUGAGGAUGACGUCAAGUCCGCAUGGCCUUUAUGUCCAGGGCUACACACGUGCUACAAUGGUCGGUACAGAAGGCAGCGAAACUGCAAAGUGGAGCAAAUCCUACAAAACCGAUCUCAGUUCAGAUUGCAGUCUGCAACUCGGCUGCAUGAAGUUGGAAUUGCUAGUAAUGGCGUGUCAGCAAUAACGCCGUGAAUACGUUCCCGGGCCUUGUA